rnacentral:ncRNA from 1 species
AAGGUAGAGGUGCGGUUAAAAUAAGUACCUGAAUAUCGGAUAACCAAUCCUGUGAUAUUCAGUGAAAGGUGCAACCGCCGAAGGAUUGUUUCUGGUAAACUCAAUUCUGGUCACUGGCUUAACAGGUUUUUGACUGUCAUCAUACAUGAUGGAGAGCUAUCA